GUUAGGAAUAUUGGACAAUGGGCGAAAGCCUGAUCCAGCCAUGCCGCGUGAACGAUGAAGGCCUUCGGGUUGUAAAGUUCUUUAGCCGAUGAUUAUAAUGACUGUAGUCGGAAAAUAAGCCCCGGCUAACUUCGUGCCAGCAGCCGCGGUAAUACGAAGGGGGCGAGCGUUUUUCGGAAUCACUGGGCGUAAAGCGUGCGUAGGCGGUUUUGUAAGUUAGGAGUGAAAGCCCAGGGCUCAACCUUGGAAUUGCUCUUAAAACUGCAAGGCUCGAAUCUCGGAGAGGAUAGCGGAAUUUCCAGUGUAGCAGUGAAAUGCGUAGAUAUUGGAAGGAACACCAGUGGCGUAAGCGGCUAUCUGGACGAGUAUUGACGCUGAGGCACGAAAGCGUGGGGAUCAAACAGGAUUAGAUACCCGUGUAGUCC
rnacentral:rRNA from 1 species